rnacentral:tRNA from 1 species
GUUGUGGCUCAGUGGUAGAGCACUUGCCUAGCAUGUGCGAGGCCCUGGGUUCAAUCCUCAGCACAACA